GUCACCUAGAAUCUGGCUGUUAACUGUCACCAUUGCUGAGAGUCUCAACAUAGGGCAAAGUGCUCAGGGAAGCUGAAGGCUGAACUUUCAGCCUUUCCACUGACCCCGAAAGCACUUUGGGCUUCUCUGAGGACAAGCCUGCAUCUCAAGGAACUGCAUUAUAUUAUUCUGCGGAGGGAAGUUGGAGACAUCAGAGAUGGGUAGAUAUUCCCUUGCUUAUGCAGGAAGGUUUUUACUUCUAGAACUUUGUCUUUUGUAGAUUUGAUGAAACCCUAAAAAUGCUGCUUGUUAAGUAAGAAACUGCUGCUUUGACUCUUGUAGGGAAAGCACCAGGCAGGCAAAGCCCUCCAGGGAGUAAUGCCACCAAAGGAGAGGAAAAGCUACGUUUCCAAAGGCAAAAAGUAGGCCUGUGACUGGGACAACAGCCUGAAUGCUGGCAUCCAUGGAGCAUCAUCCUUUUCUGCAGUUUUGGACUGUUUUGCACAACUUGACCUCACCUUCCUCAUUCUCAUACUGUGUGCUCACCUUCCACCCAAGGGCUUCCCUGUUGAUACUGUCCAGAGGUCACAUAUGUAAAACCUAUAGAGUGAGAGAGUUAAUGUGCCCUGGGCCAAAACUUUAAUCAGUGGAAAAUGGAGAGGGUGGAUAAAUGUUCUCCCUUUCUCCCCCAGAUGAACUGUCCUGAACUGUCCAUGCGGCUUCUCGAAGGAUGGAACCAAGGAUGGAUCAGUCAUCCUUAGUAAAGAUCAGCUUUAUGAUGUAUCAUAUACUCACCCCCUUUCUCUGCUUCUGUGCCUUUUUCCCACUUUUCUACAACAUGGUAUUGCAUCUCCCAAUGAAGAAAUCAGGCUCUGAUUACUGACACACUCAGGGUAAACAGUUAACCUCUGGACAAAACCGACACCUCAGCUGCAUAUGUCUGAAUACCGUAGUAUGUUUAUUGUCUUGCUUCCUCAAUAUCCAUUUCUUGACCUGCUCUAAGUUAGAGUUAAUUAUAGAAUAUUAGAGCUGAUAGUUACUAUUGGGAAGAAUGUGUCCCCCAAAAAAUCAUAUGUUGAAACUCUACCUAUGUGAUGGUUUCAGGACAUGGGUCCUUUGGGAGGUAAGUAGAAUUUGAUGAGAUCAUGAAGGUAGAGCCCUCAUGAAUGGGAUUAAUGCCCUGAUAGGGGUUAUGAGAGAACUGGCCUCCUCUCUCUGCUCUCUGUCAUGUGAGAGUACAACAAGAAGUUGGCAGUCUGCCACCCAGAAGAGUUUUCAUCAGAACUCAACUGUGCUAGCACCCUGAUCUCACUUCCAGCCUCUAGAACUGUGAAAAAUAAAUUAUUGUUGUUU
rnacentral:lncRNA from 1 species